rnacentral:rRNA from 1 species
AUGAAGACCUUAUUCCUCCUAGCUCUCCUUGCUCUUGUAGCGAGCACAACCUUCGCGCAAUACUCAGAAGUUGGCGGCUGGUACAAUGAAGUUGGCGGAGGAGGUGGUUCUCAACAAUGUCCGCAGGAGCGGCCGAAGCUAAGCUCUUGCAAGGAUUACGUGAUGGAGCGAUGUUUCACAAUGAAGGAUUUUCCAGUCACCUGGCCCACAAAAUGGUGGAAGGGCGGCUGUGAGCAUGAGGUUCGGGAGAAGUGCUGCAAGCAGCUGAGCCAGAUAGCACCACAAUGUCGCUGUGAUUCUAUCCGGCGAGUGAUCCAAGGCAGGCUCGGUGGCUUCUUGGGCAUUUGGCGAGGUGAGGUAUUCAAACAACUUCAGAGGGCCCAGAGCCUCCCCUCAAAGUGCAACAUGGGCGCCGACUGCAAGUUCCCUAGUGGCUAUUACUGGUGAUGA